GAACAAUAUUAAUAAAGCGCUUUUAGGCUCUGUGAAAGGAAUGUAGUAUAAAUGUAUAUUUAAGUAAUUUAGUGAAAAGGCUGUGGGAGAGGUAGAGAUCUGGAGUGCUUUUUUGUUCCCCCUCCUGGUUUCUGAUUUUUGCUCUUCUUUAUACCAGGCUCUAAUGCUAGAAAAUUUACAAAAACACUCAACACCCCAUGCUGCAUUCCAGCCAAAUUCUCAGGUAAGAAAAAAGGUUUGUUUAGAUAGAAUGGGCUAUUUGGAGAAAAUGGUAAAUGGGAAGACUUGGUGUCUUCCAUGUUUAUCAGAAACAGAAUUUUCUUGUUUUUUUAUUGCAAGUGAUCUCAGUUACUGGGUUUUUGUUUUGUUUGUUUUUGUUUUGUUUUUUUAAGGUCUGUUUUUAUUUUAUGUGUGUGGGUGAUUUGCCUCCAACGGGUGCCCACAGAGGCCAGGAGAGAAUGUCAGAUCCUCUGCAACUGGAGUUACAGACAGCUGUGAGCCACCAUGUGGGUGCUGAAUCGAACCUGGGUCCUCUAUAAACGCAGCCAGUGUCUUAACCAUUGAGCUAUCUCUCCAGCCCUCAGACAGUUGAAUUCUAAUCACCCUCAAUUUUGCAUAAAGACCUGGAGUUUUAA
rnacentral:lncRNA from 1 species